CUGAGCUUUUGUGCACUUGCCUCAUUGAAGCUUGAGAUCUUUCUCCACAGGUUCAGUGAAAGUCAUUAAAAAGUUUCAGCAGUGUGAGCCGGAACUUCUUGUCCAAGAAUGAUGAGCUGCGUAAGGGUGAUUAUCUGAUGUCGAACAAUGGAGAGUACAAAGCCAUCUUUCAGCCUCUACACUUCUGGGAAGGCUUUAUACUAAAUGUUGGAACAUUGCUGAAAGGAUUUCAUUGAGUUCAGCCAUGGGAGCAUUAGUAAGGUCAGGUACUGAUGUUGGAUUAUUAGUUCUGAAACACAUGGCAUCAGCUUUGCAUUACUGGCAUUACUUCAGAAAAACACAGUUUCACUGCUCCACAGCCUGAAGCUUGGGGGAUUUAUACCUCUCCAGCUGACGCUUGGCAUAGAGCAUGGUUUCUUUAGGCUCAUGUGCAUUCAUUCCAUUUUCAAAGCUUUUCUACUGGGAUUAUACAAGCUGUAUGUCCAAAUGAUUUGACUAAAUAGAAAGGGUGUAUGUCCUCAGUAUGAAAGCUAAGAGUAUAGGACAUUUGCAAAAUUAUAGAUCAGGUUGAUGUGAUAGUGACUCGUUUAUUUAUUUAAAUUCUUGUUAAAACAGUCAUUAACUACAAGUCAUUCAUUUUUCAUUUAAUUUUCAUUUUCAUUCAAUUUUCUGAGAAGAUUACAUAUGAAAUAAUCCUUAUGCAUAUGUAAGGGGAAAGUCAAAGUAAAAAUAAGUGAAGUAAGAGGAGUUUCCAAAACAUGCUUCAGAUCUGAUAGAUCCACAGGUGCUUCUGCCCAUCUUUCCACUGUGAGAAGACUACUCAACGCUAGUCUGAAAGGAUGUGUAGCUGACAUAAAGCCUCACUGAGAAUAGAAAAUAGUCAAAAAAAAUUGCAAAUCAAAGAAAUGGAAUGUGUUUGGAUUAUUUGGAUUGUGAGAAACCAAAAAUGCAACCAACUUCUAAGACUGAACUGUAGAGGUGUGGAGAAGUAUUCCUGCACAUUUCUUUGAAAAAUCGAAACUGAAGAAUGGUGUUGGACUUUGCACAGUACUGUGCAGGUGUCUGUCUAGAGAGCUGCAAAAAAAGGCAUGCAUGUUAAACAUCAUAAAUGUUAAUGCUAUGAUUAUGUAAGCAUAGGGGAAAAUCCUAUUAUUUUCCAACAUAGGCAAGGCAGGGGUGUUGUGGAAAACCCUUGAUGCCUUUGUUCUUGUCACAAAAAGUACUGAUUUCAAAAUAAACAGAAGAAAAGAAUAACUGCAAAAAAUAGCAAUACCUUUAGGGCAAAAAGAACCGUCCUUCUGUUGAAAUUCUGUUGAAUUGCACACACACACACACAGACACACACACACUCAGUGUAACUGUUUUAUGGUUCAGCAGGCAGCACUCCACCCACUAUUGCCAUAGUUAGAAGUAGUGUGUUUAAACGGAAAUUAGGAGCCAUAUCUAGCUUUACUUUACAUGAACUGUAAAGAAUACCUACCCACUCAGAGAGUUUCCAAUAAUAAAGUAGGCCCAGUGCCGUGGAAUAUCUUAGUUUAAUAACAUUAAUGAUGGAAAAGUCAGGAGUGUAUGAAAUGAUAGCAUUAAUUUCAAUCCAGAUUCAACCCUUAUCAGAUCACCAUGGUUACACAUGUUUUAAUGCUUCUUAGUGCUAUAAAUAUUAUUGUAGAGAGACAGAUUGACGAAAAAAGAAAUAAGAAAAUAAAGACUUAUUUUGUGAGACAGCGGAAACAAUAACUCUUGUUCUAUCCAUAAAACCUGCAGCACUUUUGAACCUGAUGUUCACAGCCUGAAUCCAAACACACAUUAUGUCACUGUGUUUUUCGAAAGCAAAGGCUUUAAUUGUUCCAGAGAUGCUGGAGGACAUUAGAUGAGUCACUGCUACUCGUUGGAACGUUCAAGCUUGAUUAAAUGUAACCAAACUUCAGAGAUGCUGCAGGGUUCGUGGUCAAUGUUCUAGGUGCUGAUUCCAUUGUGUACUGUGUUCUCAGAACAUUCCAUAUUUUAGCUUUUGCCUUUUAGAUCUGUGGAACGUUUGUCUUUAUACCUGUGUGCCUUCCUGGUUGUCCCUGUUCUUCUGAUUCUUGUCUGUAAUCUGAAUCCAACACUAAGGAGACUGAUGAGUUUUCCUACGCUGAUAAGUAAACCUCCAGUCAGCAGUCCUAAUAGAGAAAUCAUGGAGUGAGACUCAUGAAUCACACAUUUUUUCCACAUCAACACCCAAGCAGAUGGGUCUGUGUAGUCUCAUAAAUACUGCCCCCUCACCUACGGUCAACAUUUUUCAUACGGAAGGACACACAGACACACACAAGCAUUGACCUAACUAGUAAAUAGAUGAAUAUCUCUAAUUACAUAUCUAAUCUGACUCAAAGCAAAGCCAUAAUCUAACUACUACACUCUUAAAUGUAAAGGUUUCUGAAGGGAUCUUGGCUUAGAAGGUUUGAUUGUUAUGAAAUCUCUACAUUAUCUGGAGGUUCUUCAAACUUUAAAAAGGCUCAUUACACUUGCAGAUCUCAUUCUUUAAUCUUCUCACAGUAACUAAAAAAUGCAAUUUCCGCUUGUUUUGAAGGAGGUCCUUCAGCUGAACUAUGCAUUUUCCUCAUUUUCUUCAAUAAUGUUUGAAAUAUUGGGAGUAUAUUUUGAUGAAAAUGUGUAUAAUUUACAAAAACAGAAGGAAAUUGGAUUCUCAUCUUCAUAAGUGAGCAAGCAAGUCAGCAUUUUUAAAAGUAUUUUUAUUAUAUUUACGUCUUUUUUUUUGUUCAUUUUAUUAUUUUAUUCAUUUUAUUUAGAGCCAACAGCGUCCUAGUUAAUUUGAUGAAGGGAAAGGACAAUAAAUCAGUUGAUUUCCAUUCUGCCACUAGGGCGCCUAAAGGUAGAGGCUACAUAAUGCUGUUGUCGGAAGAAAAUCUUGUAUCUCCAUUUUUUCAGUUUUUGACAUAAUUUGAAAAUGCCUGUUGCCCUUUACAUUGUAUGUAAAUUUCAUGAU